rnacentral:rRNA from 1 species
UAGCUUUAAGAUUUGUAUUUAAAGUUUUACCUGCCCGGUGGGAUUCUUAACGGCCGCAGUACUUUGACUGUGCUAAGGUAGCAUAAUAAGUUGGCUUUUAAUUAAAGUCGGGUAUGAAAGGGAUUUCGGAAAGUGGCUGUCUUAAGAUAUUUUAUUUUAAUUUAAUAAUUGAGUGAAAAUUCUCAUACUAAUAUAUAUUAGACGAGAAGACCCUAAGAGUUAUAAUUAAGAUGAAUUUAUUUUUCAUAUAUCAUUUUUGUUGGGGCAACAAAGACUGGAAAUAACCGUCAUAUAUAAAUUUUACAUAACAGUAGUAUUUAAAAAGAAAUAAACUACCUUAGGGAUAACAGCAUAAUUAAUUUUUAGAUUGUGACCUCGAUGUUGGAUUAGGGACUUAACUUACUAGCCGUAAGUUAAGAUAGUUCUGUUCGAACUGUAAUACCCU